rnacentral:siRNA from 1 species
ACAAAUCUAGGUAUCCAUUUACAC